AGAGGGACCCCGGCACUGAGGCGUUCAGGCGGGAGCCCGGCGUCCUGGCUGAGAGGAGCGGCCGCGGCAUCUCACGACCUAACCCCGUUAAAUGAGGCACGGACGAGAGUGUCUGAGAGCACAGCGCUCAGCAAAAUCAAAACUGAGGGGAGAAUACCAGUGUGAUUAAUGCUCCUCCUGCUCUGCAACAUGAGGUGGAUUGUAAAGCAGGUGCAUCAAAGACAGACAGACAUACUCACAGGUUACCAAGGGAGAACGCAAAAUUGGUGAGUGCUUGCAUUUUUUCCUGCAAAAUGCUCAGAUACCAGAGAAGAGGAGCAACUGAAAGGACCAUCAAGAAGCAGAAUUUUUUUCCUGUUGACUUCAGUGGAGCACAAGGCAGCAACAGGGAAAGAAGUUCAUGCUCCG